AACCAUUCUCACCUGCGGCUAGACCUGCGGAAGGAUCAUUACAGAGUUAUCCAACUCCCAAACCCAUGUGAACUUAUCUCUUUGUUGCCUCGGCGCAAGCUACCCGGGACCCCGCGCCCCGGGCGGCCCGCCGGCGGACAAACCAAAACUCUUGUUAUCUUAGUUGAUUCUCUGAGCGUCUUAUUUAAUAAGUCAAAACUUUCAGCAACGGAUCU
rnacentral:misc_RNA from 1 species